rnacentral:rRNA from 1 species
AUUGAACGCUGGCGGCAGGCUUAACACAUGCAAGUCGAGCGAGCGGCGGACGGGUGAGUAAUGUCUGGGAAACUGCCUGAUGGAGGGGGAUAACUACUGGAAACGGUAGCUAAUACCGCAUACCAUCAUAUGUGCCCAUAUGGGAUUAGCUCGUAGGUGGGGGAAAGGAUCACCUAGGCGACGAUCCCUAGCUGGUCUGAGAGGAUGACCAGCAAGACUGGAACUGAGACACGGUCCAGACUCUUAAGGGAGGCAGCAGUUGGGAAUAUUGCACAAUGGGGGCAAGACUGAUGCAGCAAUGCCGCGUGUGUGAAGAAGGACUUCGGGUUGUAAAGCACUUUCAGCGAGGAGGCGUUACUCGCAGAAGAAGCACCGGCUAACUCCGUGCCAGCAGCCGCGGUAAUUC